AUAACAUUUUGCAUUGUACCAGGCAGUGAUCGAAUAAAGUCAAAUUAUCUGUUCUUAACAGUUUGAUAUCUGAUGAUCUUUACUGGAAUGUAAAAUAUUAAAUUAAUUUUUGGAACAGAGAAUUGGAAGAGGAACUUGCUCCAUCCAUUCUAUGCAUUAUCUUGGUACAGCAGUAAGUUAUCAAUAACAGUUCAGAGAUG
ensembl:snRNA U2 U2 spliceosomal RNA